rnacentral:rRNA from 1 species
AUACAGAGGGUGCGAGCGUUAAUCGGAAUUACUGGGCGUAAAGCGCGCGUAGGCGGCUACUUAAGUCAGAUGUGAAAUCCCCGGGCUCAACCUGGGAACUGCAUCUGAUACUGGGUAGCUAGAGUUUUGGAGAGGGAAGUAGAAUUUCAGGUGUAGCGGUGAGAUGCAUAGAGAUCUGAAGGAAUACCAGUGGCGAAGGCGACUUCCUGGCCAAAAACUGACGCUGAGGUGCGAAAGCGUGGGUAGCAAACGGGAUUAGAAACCCCAGUAGUCC